UACGUAGGGUGCAAGCGUUAAUCGGAAUUACUGGGCGUAAAGCGUGCGCAGGCGGUGAUGUAAGACAGUUGUGAAAUCCCCAGGCUCAACCUGGGAACUGCAUCCGAUACUGGAUGGCUUGAAUCCGGGAGAGGGAUGCAGAAUUCCAGGUGUAGCGGUGAAAUGCGUAGAUAUCUGGAGGAAUACCGGUGGCGAAGGCGGCAUCCUGGACCGGCAUUGACGCUGAGGAGCGAAAGCUAGGGGAGCAAACGGG
rnacentral:rRNA from 1 species